UUCCAGACUCCUACGGAGGCAGCAGUGAGGAAUAUUGGUCAAUGGCCGGAAGGCUGAACCAGCCAUGCCGCGUGAAGGUCAGUGCCCUAUGGGCGUUAAACUUCUUUUGUGCGGGAGCAAUAAUGGUCACGUGUGGCCAGACGAGAGUACCGUACGAAUAAGGAUCGGCUAACUCCGUGCCAGCAGCCGCGGUAAUACGGAGGAUCCGAGCGUUAUCCGGAUUUAUUGGGUUUAAAGGGAGCGUAGGUGGAUUGUUAAGUCAGUUGUGAAAGUUUGCGGCUCAACCGUAAAAUUGCAGUUGAAACUGGCAGUCUUGAGUACAGUAGAGGUGGGCGGAAUUCGUGGUGUAGCGGUGAAAUGCUUAGAUAUCACGAAGAACUCCGAUUGCGAAGGCAGCUCACUGGACUGCAACUGACACUGAUGCUCGAAAGUGUGGGUAUCAAACAGGAUUAGAUACCCCAGUAUA
rnacentral:rRNA from 1 species